rnacentral:rRNA from 1 species
CAAAAGUUCGUCUCAGUUCGGAUUGUUCUCUGCAACUCAGAGAGCAUGAAGGCGGAAUCGCUAGUAAUCGCGGAUCAGCAUGCCGCGGUGAAUACGUCCCAGGCCUUGUACACACCGCCCGUCACACCAUGGGAGUUUGGUUUCACCCGAAGGCAGUGCUCUAACCCGCAAGGGAGGAAGCUGACCACGGUGGGAUCAGCGACUGGGGUGAAGUCGUAACAAGGUAGCCGUAGGGGAACCUGCGGCUGGAUCACCUCCUUUCUAAGG